UAAUACGAACUGUGCAAACGUUAUUCGGAAUCACUGGGCUUAAAGGGUGCGUAGGCGGUUCGACAAGUCAGGUGUGAAAUCUCUCGGCUCAACCGAGAAACUGCGCUUGAAACUGUCGAACUUGAGAGAGAUAGGGGUGAGCGGAACUGCUGGUGGAGCGGUGAAAUGUGUUGAGAUCAGCUGGAACGCCGGUGGCGAAAGCGGCUCACUGGGUCUUUUCUGACGCUGAGGCACGAAAGCUAGGGUAGCGAACGGGAUUAGAUACCCCGGUAGUCCUAGCCGUAAACGAUGAGCACUAGACGGGAGGGGGUUCGCCCUUUGCCGUCGGAGCGAAAGUGUUAAGUGCUCCGCCUGGGGAGUAUGGUCGCAAGGCUG
rnacentral:rRNA from 1 species